rnacentral:lncRNA from 1 species
AAAAUUAAAAACCAAUUGUUCAAAGAACAAUUGAAGGUCUUUCAACCAAUAAGGAUCUAUUUUGAUAUGAAAAUAUUAAGAUUCAGUUGAAAAUGUCAGUUGCUAUGGCUUUAUGAUAUGAAAAUAUGAAUUUGGAGCAAAGGUCAAAAUCUAGAACGUCCAAUUAACCUAUGACCUUGACCCCAAUUUCAAGGUCAUAAACCAAGGAUCCCAAAUCAAAAGACCCUAGGUCAGUAGUAUGUAUGGUUCAUGAGUAAUAUCACUUUACGCAUAAUUCUAAAUAUUAGAGGGGCAAAAACUCCCGUUUAUUGUCUACGCACCCUUCCAAUCAAAAAUUUUAAGUUACGACAUGUCGCAACUAACAAUUUAGUAAAAAGAAUUUGUCGAAAUCUUAUAAAGUUAAUGAGAAUAAGUGAAAAUAAGCCAAAAUCAAAAUUUAGAAUUUGACCUUGACCUUUGACCUUGACCUAAUUUUCAUUUUUUUUGGACCAAGGAUCUUAAAUCAAAAGACCCUAGGUCUCUAUCACUUAUAGUUUACCAGUUAGAAAUGCAUAUCACUGAUAUCAUAUAUAAAAGGGGGGAUAACUCUCAUAUGGAGUCUCCCGAUAGCUUCGGUUGAAAUGAAACAGAACAUCCUAAGGAUAUAACGAGCAAUUUGGAAAUAAAUAAAUUUGUCGGUUUCUUAUACGGUCGCGAAGGAGUAGUGGCCACAAGAAAAACAGUGUUCGGGGAGAUAACUCUUACAAGGUCAAGUUUUUUGUUACGCGGUGUCAGUUUCAGAAGCGUAUUAACUGUUCGAUAUCAUUUACCUUAUAUCUAAGCGAUAUCUUGUGAAACAAAAAAACAGCGAAGGAAAAAAAAGUUGGCGGAAGAAAAAAAAAAAAAAUUAAAAACCAAUUGUUCAAAGAACAAUUGAAGGUCUUUCAACCAAUAAGGAUAUAUUUUGAUAUGAAAAUAUUAAGAUUCAGUUGAAAAUGUCAGUUCCUAUGGCUUUAUGAUAUGAAAAUAUGAAUUUCGAGCAAAGGUCAAAAUCUAGAACGUCCAAUUAACCUAUGACCUUGACCUCAAUUUCAAGGUCAUAAACCAAGGAUCCCAAAUCAAAAGACCCUAGGUCAGUAGUAUGUAUGGUUCAUGAGUAAUAUCACUUUACGCAUAAUUCUAAAUAUAAGAGGGGCAAAAACUCCCGUUUAUUGUCUACGCACCCUUCCAAU